rnacentral:rRNA from 1 species
AUUGAACGCUGGCGGCAGGCCUAACACAUGCAAGUCGAGCGGAUGAAGGGAGCUUGCUCCUGGAUUCAGCGGCGGACGGGUGAGUAAUGCCUAUGAAUCUGCCUGGUAGUGGGGGAUAACGUCCGGAAACGGGCGCUAAUACCGCAUACGUCCUGAGGGAGAAAGUGGGGGAUCUUCGGACCUCACGCUAUCAGAUGAUCCUAGGCCGGAUUAGCUAGUUGGUGGGGUAAAGGCCUACCAAGGCGACGAUCCGUAACUGGUCUGAGAGGAUGAUCAGUCACACUGGAACUGAGACACGGUCCAGACUCCUACGGGAGGCAGCAGUGGGGAAUAUUGGACAAUGGGCGAAAGCCUGAUCCAGCCAUGCCGCGUGUGUGAAGAAGGUCUUCGGAUUGUAAAGCACUUUAAGUUGGGAGGAAGGGCAGUAAGUUAAUACCUUGCUGUUUUGACGUUACCAACAGAAUAAGCACCGGCUAACUUCGUG